rnacentral:lncRNA from 1 species
AUGUCUGUAUCAGCUUUGACUCGUCUUGGGUAUGUCUGUUCAGCUUUGACUCUUUGGGUAUGUUCUGUAUCAGCUUUGACUCGUCUUGGGUAUGUCUGUAUCAGCUUUGACUCGUCUUGGGGUAUGUCUGUAUCAGCUUUGACUCGUCUUGGGUAUGUCUGUAUCAGCUUUGACUCGUCUUGGGUAUGUCUGUAUCAGCUUUGCACAUCUGGAUUUGGGGAUUUUCUCCCAUUCUUCCUUACAGAUUUUCUCAAACUGUUAAGUUAGACGGGGAAAGGCGGUGAACAGAAAUCUUCAAGUCUUUCCAAAGAUUUUCAAUAGGAUUCAAGUCUGGGCUUUGGCUGGCCCACUCAAGGACUUUCACAUUCUUGUUCUGAAGCCAUUGCAGCGUUGCUUUGGCUGUAUGCUUGAGGUCGUUGUCCUGUUGGUACGUAAAUCUUCGCCCCAGUCUGUUGUUUGCACUCUGAAGCAGGUUCUUAAUGAUUUGACUGUAUUUGGCUCCAUUCAUUGUUCCCUGUAUAUCCUCAAGUCUCCCAGUCCCUGCCACUGAAAGGCAUCCCCCAUAGCAUGAUGCUGCCACCACCAUGCUUCACAAUAGGGAUGGUUUUCUUUUACACAUAGCACUUUGCAUUCAGGCCAAAUAAUAAAUGUGUCUCAUCAGACCACAUCAUCCUUCAGCCUUAUGACCUGUCUUUCACGUGCUGUCGUAUGCCUUUUUCUCAGGAGUGGCUUCCGUCUGGCCACUCUCCCAUAAAGCCCAGCUUGGUGAAGUGCUGUAGAGACGGUUGUCCUGGUGGCAGGGUCUCCCAUCACAGCCAUUGAACUCUGAAUUGCUGUCUGACCAAGGUCCUUCUUGCCCAGUUGAUCAGUUUGGUCAGCUCUAGUCUAGAUGGAAAAAAAUAUGGAACUAUUUCCCAAUGAUGGAGACCACUGUGCUCUUGGAAACUUUCAACACUCUAGAAAUGGUUUUAUAACCUUCACCAGAUAUACAGUGAGCUUAAUUUUGUUGUUUUGGCUCUGUGCAGACUGUCAGGUUUAAUUUGAAGGUAUUUUGAUCUACAUAUGGUGAACCGUCCCAUAUUCAUAGCAUGCAAUGACUACAUCAAGCUCUACAAACUGUCUGGAUGCAUUUGCUAUUUGUUUUAGUUGUUUGAUUAUCUUGUGCCCAUUGGAAAAUAAUGGUAAAUGUAUUGUGUCAUUUUGGAGUCACUUUUAUUUUAAAUAAGAAUAGAAUAUGUUUCUAAACAUCCUAACAUGUUUUACCUCCCCUGAUAUUGUGAAAGGUUAGCAUGUGUUGGGGAUAUGAUAUUUGUGCAUGCUUGGAAUAUGGGACCAAAUACUAAACUUUUGACUAUUUAAUACACAAGUGAAUGUCCCAAUACUUUUGGUCCCCUAGAAUUGGGGGAACAUGUACAAAAAGUGCUGUAAUUUCUAAACGGUUCACCCUAUGGAUGAAAAUACCCUCAAAUUACAGUCGGCACUUUAACCUCCAUAGUCAUUGUAUCAUUUCAAAUCCAAAGUGCUGGAGUACAGAGCCAAAACCGCAAAUAUUUCAUUAUCUCAAUACUUUGUUUUUAGGCAUACAGUAAGCUCAAUCUCAGCGAUCGUACAGUUCCUUGGACUUCAU